GCGGCGUGCCUAAUACAUGCAAGUAGAACGCACAGGAUGCACCGUAGUUUACUACACCGUAUUCUGUGAGUUGCGAACGGGUGAGUAACGCGUAGGUAACCUGCCUGGUAGCGGGGGAUAACUACUGGAAACGAUAGCUAAUACCGCAUAAGAACAUUUACUGCAUGGUAGAUGUUUAAAAGGUGCAAAAGCAUCACUACCAGAUGGACCUGCGUUGUAUUAGCUAGUUGGUGAGGUAACGGCUCACCAAGGCAACGAUACAUAGCCGACCUGAGAGGGUGAUCGGCCACACUGGGACUGAGACACGGCCCAGACUCCUACGGGAGGCAGCAGUAGGGAAUCUUCGGCAAUGGGGGGAACCCUGACCGAGCAACGCCGCGUGAGUGAAGAAGGUUUUCGAAUCGUAAAGCUCUGUUGUUAAGGAAGAACGUGUGUGAGAGUGGAAAGUUCACACAGUGACGGUACUUAACCAGAAAGGGACGGCUAACUACGUGCCAGCAGCCGCGGUAAUACGUAGGUCCCGAGCGUCGUCCGGAUUUAUUGGGCGUACAGCGAGCGCAGGCGGUUAGAUAAGUCUGAAGUGAA
rnacentral:rRNA from 1 species